rnacentral:rRNA from 1 species
CGUACGCUGGCGGCACGCCUUAUACAUGCAAGUCGAACGAAGUAGCAAUACUUAGUGGCAGACGGGUGAGUAACAUGUAGGUAUCUUCCCUUUGGUGAGGAAUAACACGAGGAAACUUGUGCUAAUACCUCAUAAGUCUUCACGGAGAAAGCUUUAUGCGCCGAAGGAUGAGCCUGCAUUUGAUUAGUUUGUUGGUGGGGUAAUGGCCUACCAAGACUAUGAUCAAUAGCUGAUCUGAGAGGAUGAUCAGCCACAUUGGGACUGAGACACGGCCCAAACUCCUACGGGAGGCAGCAGUAGGGAAUAUUGCACAAUGGAGGAAACUCUGAUGCAGCGAUGCCGCGUGAGUGAAGAAGGCCCUUGGGUUGUAAAGCUCUUUCGUCGGGGAAGAAAAUGACUGUACCCGAAUAAGAAGGUCCGGCUAACUUCGUGCCAGCAGCCGCGGUAAUACGAAGGGACCUAGCGUAGUUCGGAAUUACUGGGCUUAAAGAGUUCGUAGGUGGUUAAAAAAGUUGGUGGUGAAAUCCCAGAGCUUAACUCUGGAACUGCCAUCAAAACUUUUUAGCUAGAGUGUGAUAGAGGUAAGUGGAAUUUCUAGUGUAGAGGUGAAAUUCGUAGAUAUUAGAAAGAACACCAAAUGCGAAGGCAACUUACUGGGUCACUACUGACACUGAGGAGCGAAAGCAUGGGUAGCGAAGAGGAUUAGAUACCCUCGUAGUCCAUGCCGUAAACGAUGAGUGCUAGACGUUGGAAAUAUAUUUUUCAGUGUCGCAGCGAAAGCAUUAAGCACUCCGCCUGGGGAGUACGACCGCAAGGUUAAAACUCAAAUGAAUUGACGGGGACCCGCACAAGCAGUGGAGCAUGUGGUUUAAUUCGAAGAUACGCGCAGAACCUUACCAACGCUUGACAUGUUCGUCGCGAGACUAAGAGAUUAGUUUCUUCAGUUCGGCUGGACGAAACACAGGUGCUGCAUGGCUGUCGUCAGCUCGUGUCGUGAGAUGUUGGGUUAAGUCCCGCAACGAGCGCAACCCUCACUUUUAGUUG